UCAAAAAUGGCUAAAGAUAUAAACUGGAGACUUCUUGGAGACGAUUGUUUCGUGACUUUUAGGUUUGCAGAAUCAUAUUUUCGUGUGUCAUCAGUACUUCCGGUCGCUACGGAAGCGAAUUUUUAAAAAGUCUAGUUUUUCAACUUUUUUGUUUUCCAAUAUUUUUCUUUGAUAUUAGUAUUAUUAACAGGGACAGUUUUGCGAAUGCAAAAUAUGUAAUUUGUUUUAGAAUCAAAACAGGCAAUCGUGAGAUAUUCUCAUUUGAAAAUUUUGUUGAAACAGCUGUGUUUUUAAUGGACGAAUGGUUAGCUCAUUGGAUUGUCACGCGGGCGACCUGGGUUUCCUCCCCCGAAUGUCCGAUUUUUUUAUAUAACUUUUUCCAAUAAUUUUUCCGAUAAUUUUUCGUUUUUUUUAUUCAAGAAUCGGACGUUGCUCGCAACGAGAUCGUUUCUAGUUGAACUACUAUAAUCAUAGGUGGUGUAGCCAUAGUCUGGAAAUCAAAGAAAUGGCAUAAUUCAAUUCAUUGCCAUUUUGAUUAUACUGCCAUGAUUUAUUAAUAACAAUAGGUGUUCUUUUCUCACGAAUUGACCAUAUUUUUUAACUCAUAUAUAUAUACGCAUAUGUUUGUGUUUAUUUGGAUUUAAUUCAUAUUCUGACAGGUAAAAAAAUCCUUGAAAGUGGAGGAUCCAGAUUUCUCCCCUCAAAGGAAAAAAUUAAGAUUGUCUAACACAGAAGAACAUGGAUGUUCUUAUAUUGGAGAUGCAGCCCAACAUAUUGGAGAGCUCUUUGUGUAUUUCCACCAGUCUGUGAGUCCUAGGGGUAUUCUUGGAUUCACCAUUGAAAAGACCUGGGUACGAGUUACAUACCUUGAGGUACAAGACUCUGCUUGGGACAAAAUUCGAAAGCCUGCAAAUAGAGGUGGAUAUGUGAAAUAUGAGGCAACUGAGAAGCGUCCUCAAUUUAAAUACAGUAGACUCUACAAUAUUUUAGACCAAAGUGAUCGCAGGGUAUUGUUCAAAGCACUUUUCCUCAUCCAAACGAUGCUGGAGCCAAGAGCAAGUUUAAAUUUGUAAAUAAGAAAGAAGGGCAUACAGUAUACAGGAUUAUUUUCGCCCUGUUUUAUUUUUGCCCUUUCACACUUGCAAACAUUUUUGCCCCAUUUUAAAUUUGCCCACUCAUAGUUUUGUUUAAGAAAUUAUUUCUUUGAAUUCGCCCUGUUUUAAAUUCACCCAAAUGAGGGUAGGGCGAAAGGGGCGAAAAUAAAACAGGUGGCAAAAUUUCCACCUAUACAGCAUUACUUUGCUGCUCGGUCACUCUGUCAGUCCACCAUCUAUUUCUGUUCAUUUUCUUCACAGAGGUUGCACUUAUUCAAAUGAUUUUUUUUAAAACAGAUUUACCAUAAGAAUAUCUAGGUCAAGUUCUGUUUUGGGUACGAUCCGACCAUUUUGGGCAGAGUUGUACCCCUUGGACUUGGAAAAAUUCCAAUUAUUUGCAGUUUCCGUUCACUUUCUUUGCAGAGGUUGAACAUAUUGAUAUGAAAUUUGGUAAACAGAUUUAUCAGAUAAAUAUCUAAGUCAAGCUUUGUUCUGGGUACGAUUGAGCCAUUUUUGACAGAGCUAUGCCCCAUGGACUUUUAAAAAAAAUCUUAUUUUGGGUGAGGGAAGGGGGUGCAUUAGUGUUUUACAAACAUCACUUGUAGGUAGAGGACCCAACACAAUGCUGUGAUUUUUCUUUUUCAUAUUGACAUUGUUUCGUAUUCAGUUAUGAUGUUACAUGUCGAAAUAAUUAUUGUAAAUGGAUCUCUUUUUGAUAUUAAAAGAAAAAGCGAGAAGAAGACUUAUAGACGUGAUAGAAAAGACUUAAAAAAUAAACAGUGAUAAGGAAAGAGACAUUGAUAAUACGAGGAUUAAUAAAAAUAAAUUAAUAAUAAAUAAAUAAAAUAGAAUAAAACCAGUGAAAAUAAAUGUUAUGCAAUGAAAAAAGAUAUAGGACAAAAACUUAUGUUGCCGGUCAUGUGCUUAACUUUUGAAGAUGCCGUGCAGAAGCAUGUAAACAAAUCCAUAGAGAUAUAAAUAAAACACUUCGUGUUGAUUUGUAAACAGCACUGAUUCUAAAUGCUACGAACACACUAAAGCAUUUGUCCUCAACAUCUGAGAAGAAAAGAAAUCCAUGAAAUAUACAGUAUUUUAUAUUUUGUAUAGAUA